rnacentral:rRNA from 1 species
GGAGGGGGCAAGCGUUGUUCGGAAUUAUUGGGCGUAAAGAGCGUGUAGGCGGUUAAGUAAGUCAAACGUGAAAGUCCUCGGCUCAACCGGGGAAUUGCGUUUGAAACUGCUUUUCUUGAGUGCGGGAGAGGAGAGCGGAAUUCCUAGUGUAGCGGUGAAAUGCGUAGAUAUUAGGAAGAACACCGGUGGCGAAGGCGGCUCUCUGGACCGUUACUGACGCUGAGACGCGAAAGCCAGGGGAGCAAACGGGAUUAGAUACCCCGGGUAGUCCUGGCUGUAAACGAUGGGCACUAGGUGAGGGAGGCUUCGACCCCCUUCCGUGCCCGCAGCUAACGCAUUAAGUGCCCCGCCUGGGGGAUACGGUCGCAAGGCUGA